rnacentral:lncRNA from 1 species
GGGGAAGAAAGAGCGAGAGAGAAAAGAGAGAGGGGAAAGAGAGAGGUAAAUAGAAAGGGGAAGAAAGAGAGAGAGAGAGAGAGAGAGGGGAAAGAGAGAGGUAAAUAGAAAAGGGAAGAAAGAGAGAGAGAGAGAAUGAGGGGAAAGCUAAAAUAGCUAAAACAGAUUCGGAGAAGAAGUUUUACGUGCCCCCAACCAAUUGUAUUUUUUGUUCUUUUAUGUGUGUUUUUUGUAACUUAUUUUGUACAUAAUGUUGCCACUACCAUCACUUAGGAUCAAAAAUAACUUCUGGACAUCAGGACUGCUAUUACUCACCACGGACUGGAUGAAUAAUUUUUUUCCUUUAACGAGUCUGACGAGCGCGACAAACAAUAUAGUGCUUUCCCGGGAACAGGCCCAGAUCCCCGUGAUGUGCGUGAAGACGAGGCGUAGAAAAAGGGGCCUGAGGGCGGGCUGCCUUCUGAGAACUUGUAGGCGAUCGAAUAAACCCCCACUUCCUUCCAUUCUGCUAGCAAACGUGAAAUCUUUGGACAAUAAAAUAGAUGACCUACGCAGAAGAUUAAUCUACCAACGGGACAUUCAAAACUGUAAUAUCUUAUGCUUCACGGAGUCGUGGCUGAACGACGACACUAUCAACAUAUAGCUGGCUGGUUAUACACUGCACUGGCAGGAUAGAACAAUGGCGUCUGCAUCGUCCCUUACAGAAUGCAGCAGCCAUCAAAUGAAGCAUCAGGGAGUGCUGGCGGUUCGGAUGGUGGUGACAUCGGGUUCGGGGACUGCCACUGAUGGAACCGGGGGUGCCUUAGCUGGAUCGUUGGGUUUCCAUGCCCUAGCCGGCUCCAGAGGUUUCUUUGCCCCGGUUGUCUCUGAAGGCGCACAUCCCACAUCAGGCCUC